rnacentral:rRNA from 1 species
AUUGAACGCUGGCGGCAGGCCUAACACAUGCAAGUCGAGCGGAGCGGCGGACGCGUGAGUAAUGUCUGGGAAACUGCCUGAUGGAGGGGGAUAACUACUGGAAACGGUAGCUAAUACCGCAUACCCUCUGAUGUGCCCCGAUGGGAUUAGCUAGUUGGUGGGGUAAAGGCGUACCAAGGCGACGAUCCGUAACUGGUCUGAGAGGAUGAUCAGUCACACUGGAACUGAGACACGGUCCAGACUCCUACGGGAGGCAGCAGUGGGGAAUAUUGGACAAUGGGCGAAAGCCUGAUCCAGCCAUGCCGCGUGUGUGAAGAAGGUCUUCGGAUUGUAAAGCACUUUAAGUUGGGAGGCGUUACCAACAGAAUAAGCACCGGCUAACUUCGUGCCAGCAGCCGCGGUAAUUC